rnacentral:snRNA from 1 species
GUGCUUGCUUCAGCAGCGCAUAUACUAAAACUGGAACAAUACAGAGAAGAUUAGCAUGGCCCCUGUGCAAAAUAAAAAAACUCUGUAAUUUCUA